rnacentral:tRNA from 1 species
GGCAGUGUAGUGUAGUGGUAUGGGCACUGGAUUAUGACUCUGGAGGCCAGGGUUCGAAUCCUAGCUUAGCCA